UCCCUGGCAGUCCAGCGGUUAGGACUCAGCGCUUUCACUGCCGUGGCCUGGGUUCAAUCCCCAGUCAGGGAA